AUGAAGGAGAAAGGAUACCGGUCAUAAUGGUCAAAUAUUGGUAAGAGCUGUUUCUGGUUGAGAUAACUUUUUUUUUCUUUUUUUCUUUUUGAGAUGCUGAUCUCAGGACCCACCACAGGAAAAGGACGUUCAAAAUGAAAUGUGAGGAGGAUCAAAGAAGAGUCAGAACAAAAUCAAAUCAUGUUUCAACUCUAUUAUGUAUGUGGAAAGAGUAUUAGUAGAGCCCUCUGCAUUAAGAGGAGAAACGGGAUCUGCUCGGUGCACGAUUUACUUGGGACACAAAUUAGCGAAGAGACAGAAUUCUUGGGGUCUAGGUUUCAUGAUGUGGGGCCCACGGCCUGCUGCACUGCCUGCCACGGAUGUGGAACCAAACCCAAGGCCUUAUAUAUAAUAACCCAGUACUCAACAACUUAACUACAACUUCAUUCUGCAAUAAAAUUCUUGUGAUUACAUGAAACUCAAGAAGAACGAAGACCAAAGUGUGGACACUUCGCCCCUUCUUAGAACUGGAAACAAAACAUCCAUGUUACAGAGACAAAGUUUGGAGCUGAGAUGAAAGGAUGGACCAUCUAGAGACUGCCGUACCCGGGGAUCCAACCCUCAAUCAGCCUCCAAACGCAGACACCAUUGCAUACUCCAGCAAGAUUUUGCUGAAAGGACCCUGAUAUAGCUGUCUCUUGUGAGGCUAUGAUGGUGCCUGGCAAACACAGAAGUGGAUGCUCACAGUCAGCUAUUGGAUGGAACACAGGGCCCCCAAUG
rnacentral:lncRNA from 1 species